rnacentral:tmRNA from 1 species
GAAUUAAAAUUAAACGCUGAAGACAAUUUAGCAUACGCUGCCUAAUGGCAGCUGUCGGCCUUAAGCUUCCUGCGGCUUAAGCACCGGCAUCAAACUUGCAGGGCACUCCGGUUCCUAAGCUUUGCGGCACCGGAAGAAUUUUAUGAAGCUACUAAAGUCCGAAGCCUGUCAGCUGGCGCCGGAUGGAGGGAAUGUCAAAUAACUGACUGUGAUGGGAGAUGCCGCAGUGGAUGGGCUUUCGGACAGGGGUUCAACUCCCCUCAGGUCCACUA